UCAACAAAAACAUUUAGAGCUUGUUGAGAGAGAGAAAAUAUAGAGUAAGGUUUCUCCUAGUGUUGAGAUUGAGAGAAAAUAUAGAGAGGAAACAUAUGUUUUCUAUCUUGUGCACAAAUAAAUAUAGAGAGCAAAAUGGGUUAAACUCCAACAAAAAAAAAAAAAAACACCUAGAAGCCUCUAGGGAAAGAAAUACAACUAUCGGUCACCAAAGCUACAAAAAUAAAGCUUCCCAAUCUUGGGACGAUGAAUUUGCCUCAGAUCCUAUUCAAAUUCAAACACUUCUGGUGUGUAGAUGAACUUGUCUCGGAAUGGGGAGCAGGUGGAGGAGACACGAAAACUGGUUAGGGGGCAGAUGAAACUUAGGUUGCUUGAUGCAGCUCAGGUGGUGGUUACCUUGAUGGGCCGCCAUAUGAAGGAACUACGUCUUGGCCACCUCCAACACCAAUAUGGUGCAGGUGCUGGCGGUGGCCAUGUUGUAGUUUCUUCAUAUGGUGGCAGACUGAUGUAACCAGCACCGAGCUGCAUCAAGCAACCUCAGUUCCAUCUACAUCCUAUCAAGUUUUCGUGUCUCCUUCACCUCUCCCCAAUCUGAGGCAAGUUCAUUUUCCCAACUACCAGAGGUGUCUGAAGUUGAACAAGAUCUAGGACAAAUGACAUUUCAUUCUUAAGAGACGCAUGCCUCUUCUCCACAAAGUAAAUCAUCACUUUGGGUUUCUUCUUCUCCUUGGAAAGGGGAGCUAUGGCAAGAAGUGUGUUGUUAUGGCAAACCAAUUUUUUCUUUCUGAGUUACCUUUGAAAAACCCUCCAUCAGUAUGAUGUAACAAUUACUCCAGAAGAGACGUCUAGAGGUGUGAAUUGUGUUGUUAUGGAACAACUUCUGAGGCUGUAUCAUGAUUCAUACUUGGGAAAGAGACUUCCCUAUUAUGAUGGCCAUAAGUGUCUGUAUACUACAUGCCCGUCCCCUCCAAAUUGAUGGGGCAAAUCACUGAAGCCUCUAAACCUAACCCUUUUAAAAUAAUUGUAAAACAAUAUUUCCCCAAAUUUAGAGAAUUUGUAAUGAUGUAUGUCACACAAAUAAAGGGAAGGAAUUGGGCUUUAGCACCAUUUUUUUCUUGUUGGUAUUUUGUGAGCUUGUGCAUCUUUAUGUAUCAGUGUAAGACAUUUAUUUUUGCUCUUUUAUUUUAAGAGCUGCUAAUAUAGCACAUCUUUAGCAUA